rnacentral:tRNA from 1 species
UCCCUGGUGGUCUAGUGGUUAGGACUUGGUGCUUUCAUCUCUGUGGCCUGGGUUCAGUCCCUGGCUUGGGAA